GUGUCAGCAGCCGCGGUAAUACGUAGGGGUCUAGCGUUGUCCGGAAUUAUUGGGCGUAAAGAGCUCGUAGGCGGUUCGGCAAGUCGGAUGUGAAAUCUCCACGCUUAACGUGGAGGGGCCAUUCGAAACUGCCGUGACUCGAGUCCGGUAGGGGAGUGCGGAAUUCCCGGUGUAGCGGUGAAAUGCGCAGAUAUCGGGAGGAACACCAGUGGCGAAGGCGGCACUCUGGGCCGGAACUGACGCUGAGGAGCGAAAGCGUGGGGAGCGAACAGGAUUAGAAACCCGCGUAGUCC
rnacentral:rRNA from 1 species